rnacentral:rRNA from 1 species
GACGAACGCUGGCGGCGUGCUUAACACAUGCAAGUCGAACGGAAAGGCCCUGCUUUUGUGGGGUGCUCGAGUGGCGAACGGGUGAGUAACACGUGAGUAACCUGCCCCUGACUUUGGGAUAACUUCAGGAAACUGGGGCUAAUACCGGAUAGGAGCUCCUUCUGCAUGGUGGGGGUUGGAAAGUUUCGGCGGUUGGGGAUGGACUCGCGGCUUAUCAGCUUGUUGGUGGGGUAGUGGCUUACCAAGGCUUUGACGGGUAGCCGGCCUGAGAGGGUGACCGGCCACAUUGGGACUGAGAUACGGCCCAGACUCCUACGGGAGGCAGCAGUGGGGAAUAUUGCACAAUGGGCGGAAGCCUGAUGCAGCAACGCCGCGUGCGGGAUGACGGCCUUCGGGUUGUAAACCGCUUUCGCCUGUGACGAAGCGUGAGUGACGGUAAUGGGUAAAGAAGCACCGGCUAACUACGUG